UGUACCAUAUACAUGCCCCGUGCCUACAGAACCCCUGAGUGCAUCAGAUCCUGGAACUGGAGUUCUAGAUGGUUAUACACAGACAUGUGGGUGCUGAGGAAUUGUGCUCAGGUCUCUGGAAGAGCAGCCAGUGCUCUUAACUGCUGAACCAUCUCACCAGCCCAGGUCCUUUCCUUAUGAUGAACCCCCCGCCCCACACACAUACACACACUUUUUUUUUUCCGGAGCUGGGGACCGAACCCAGGGCCUUGUGCUCGCUAGGCAAGCGCUCUAUCACUGAGCUAAAUCCCCAACCCGCAUACACACACUUUAACCCCAUAUUUCUUCCUUAGCUCUUCCAUAAGCAGGGGAUACCUGUAGGCAAAUUGGGCGAGGGGCUCAGAGCACGUGCCCUGCUAUACCUGGGUGAUUAAAUGUCAACCAGACUUGCUCCAUGAAGCUCCCCUUGAAUCUCCCUUGCUGGAAUUGCUGUUUUCUGCCCCUGCCAUUUGCUCUUAUAGACGCCAGUAUCGGUGUGGACCUCCAUGGACGCACGGAGUAGUUCAGUUUGGCUUGACCCUUCAGCUUCCUUAACUCCAGAACUCUAGUGUUGCUAGGGCUACUAUGGAUUCCAGCCCCCAAGUCCUCAUGUUGUGUACUCUGUCCCCCACAGCAGGGCCACCAGAUGUGCCCACAGCUGCUUUUUCAUGGCCAAAGAGCCAUUCACACAUUUGUCAGUGUUCAAAUGUGUUUCACCAAUGGUUGCCUAAGAGACUCCAUGUAGCUGACCCCCGUUUCCUUCUGCCUUGCCAGAUCUCCCUCCUCCCCUGCUCCCACCCUGCCCACACCUCGGUUUCUCAUAUCUGGGUCUUUGAGACUCUUCAUCUAACUCUGGGCUCACUGGAUCAUACUUCCAAGUAGGAGGCUGAAGGGGAAGGGCGUGGCUCUUAGGUAUUUAUUCUUCUUUGGUGUCGGAUAGAGAAGAGAAGAGGGGAUAGAAAUACAAACGUGUUUGUAUGAGGGUACACAGAGCCUGCAUGGCAUAAACCUGGGGUCUUAUUCAUGCAACAAUAUGACAUGGAAAAUGUCUCCAAUGAGCUCUGAUUCCUGCCAUCCAAAGGCACGUUGGCUACACCGACCUACUUUGAACUCUGAAGGCCACCAUUUGAGUCACCUCAGUCGUACCAGUAUCACACUGAAUGGCCCUGAACAGCUCUAUUACUGACCCCCGCCCCCCAUAUUUCUUAUUUACCAACUGAGUUGGUAGUUGAUGGCUACAGACAGAGUUGCUUCAAGGAUGAAAUGAGAUCUGCUGGUUUCCUGGCAUUUAUGAGGUGCUGAGUAAGUACCACUGUCUCAGAAGCAUUUUCCUGCUUGGGGGGCUGUUUGCGCAUCCCCCUGUUGGCCCUUUUAAUGUGAGAAUCUUCAGAACCUCCUAGGUGACACAGAAAGGAGGACGGAGGAGAAGAUGAGAUUGGAGCUUACUUGAGAAAAUGACAUAUUUAUCAAGGCACAUGGCACUGGUGAAUUUUAACAGGAAUCCCAGUGCUGCCCCCUAUGUACUACCACUUGUGAAAAGCAGCUCUGGUGGGACAGACAACCAAGACCUGUGAACCCUGUCUCUCUAAAUGAGUGGAAAGGUACAACUUCUCUGCUUGCCAUUUUGCUGUUGCUUGGUAGUUCUUUAGAUCAUUCGGUUCUAGAUCUGGCCUUCUAGAUUUUUUUUUCCUGUGAGACAGAGUCUUGCUGUGUAGCUCAGGUUGGCCUUGAACUCUCUACCUUCCUGCCUCAGCCUCUUAAGUGCUGGCACUCUUUUGUGGACAUCUCUCUGAGUAGUGAGCAGGAGAGCUUCUCUACAGAUGAACACAAGAUGGUCUCUGGUGGCAGGAUGGGGUCAGCUCAUUCCACAGGUUGGGAGCUGGGGUCACGGUGUGUGUUACAGUGUGUGUCACAGUGUGUGUCAUGGUGUGUGUCAUGCCGUGUGUAUCUCCUGCAGCUGUGAUGUUACACUGUCAGCAGAUGCUGAAAAUCAGGAUCAGCUCACCCCUAAGAGCAGUGUUGGGAUGGCCUGGAUACCGUGCAGAAGACUCAGACCCAAGAGGACAUGUAUGACAGGAGCCUAGCAUGGCUGUCCCCUGAGAGGCCCUACUAGCAGCUGACUGAGACAGAGGAAGAUACAUAUCCAACAACUGGACUGAAGUCGGGGACCUCAAUGAUUGAAUUAGGGGAAGGAUUGAAGAAGCUGAAAGGGAGAGCAACCCCAUAGAAAGACCAGCAGUCUCAACUAACCCAGGCCCCAGGGAGCUCCCAGAAACUGAGCCAAGAACCAGGAGCAAACAGGAGCCGAUCUGAGACCCCUGGCACAUAUACGCAGAGGACCGCCUGGUCUGGCUACAGUGGGAGACGAUGCAAAGAUGCGUCUAACCCUCCCCCAGGGAAGGAGGAGGCCUGGUGGGGGUGGGGAACACCCUCUGGGAGGCAAGAGGAAUAAAAUGAGGAACAGGGGUGGGGGGUGGAGGUGGGCAAUGACUGUAAUGUAAAUAAAUAAAAUAACCUAAAAAAAGAAAGGAAGAAAGGAAAGAAGGAAGGAAAACAAAAGGAAGAAAGGAAGGAAGGAAGAAAGGAAGAAAAAAGAAAGGAAGAAAGGAAGGAAGGAGGAAAAAGAAAGGAAGAAAGGAAGGAAGGAAGAAGGAAGAAGGAAGGAAGGAAAGAAAGAAAGAAAAAUGGAGUGGAGAAAGAAAGAAAAGAAAGGAAGGAAGGAGAGAGAGAAAGAAAGAAAGAAAUAAAGGAAGGAAGAAAGAAAGGAAGGAAGGAAGGAAGAAAGAAAGAAAGA